ensembl:lncRNA
GCCAGGUGUGGUAGAAAGGAAACAAGCUUGGCCACCAAAUGAUCUUGGAUUUAAAUCCUGGCUCUGCCUCUCGCCAUAUCUCAACCUUGGGUGAGCUAGUUCUCUGUUUGAUGGCAUCUGCCUCAGCUUCCUCAUCUGUCAAAUGGGCUGUUAUGAGGAGCCACUCAUGCCAUCAUUCAGUCAUUCAACAGACACUUAGAGAACACUGGCUAGUAGCCUGGAGAGAGCCUGCGAUUUGUGGAAUGCCCUGGGGUUGACCAGAGAGAGUUUCAAGCAGAGGAAAUAGGACAUGCAAAGGAAGAGAAAGAGUCACCCAGUGGAAGAACAGAAAUACACACAGUUUGGCAGGAAAGCCAGGAAAGGGAAAAUAGUACAAGAUGAGGCUCAGGAGAAAAGGAGGGGCCGGACGUGCUGAGCAGCAUUUGGCAAACAGUAGGCACUCAAUCAAUGUGAGUUGCCUUUCCCUGAGCCCAGAGCUGAACCCCAAGCCCCAGGUGCAGACUGAUGCUCGUGGAGAGUGGGGAGUCUAUUUCCUCUCCUGGUUGGUACCCAGCACUUCUCCUAAUGCCACAUAAUACAGUGGGCUCAUUACCUCUUAGUGCUGAGCUGGGAAGCAGGGGGUAAAGGUUUGCCAACUACCUCGGAUCUGCCAGAAAUAGAAUCCAAUGUUCCGGGAUGCUAAUGACCUUGGCCUUGGUGUAUUUCUCUUUCCUUUAGUGGUCUCCUGCUGAUGGGGCUGUUUGAAGAAGAGGAAAGCAGGAUAGUGGAAGCCAAGCCAAGCCAGCCGUACAGAACCCCAGCUUCAGCCCCAUGCAGAUGAACCAUGAGCCUCACUCUGCACACCAAAUGUGCCUCUGUAAAGUUGUGCAUAAGCCAAAUUUGUUGUACUUCACAUCUUACAUUCCAUCUGGGUUCCAUGAUCCCUAUCAACUUCUUGCAGAAAUUUGCCUGUCACUUUGUUUAGUAUCAAAGAUGCCUCAGAAGAGCGCCUGUGGGUCUCUUCCGCCUCUCCGUUCCUUCUCCCGACUCACUCCGCCUCAAAUUCUGGGAUCUUUUUACGCCCACCUUCCCCUGGGAUCCUGCCCCAAUUUUGGAGAAAACAUACAAGGCCUAUGAGUUGCCGACUGUUUUCUAGAAUAUUCUUAACAUUGUGUUCUAAGCAAAGGUGUUACGUCUUACAGAUUUUUCAGAGGCUACAAGGUAGGUGAACCCGCCUCUUGCUAAUAUACCCAUCCCCUCUUAUGACAUCAUGAAUGUGCAGGUGUGCUUACAGAGACCUUCUCCCUGCUCUCUUAUUCUUCUCUCACAGGAAGAAUGAGGGACAGCCCGGCAACAUGUUUGUCACUAUGCCCUUCCCCCAGGAACUGCACGCUCCUGGAAUGUGACCACUUUUCAGAGAUGCCGCCGAUCGGAGUUGAGAGCUGGAGCUCAGAGAUGGGUAGGCUGCUAGUCCCCAGGACAAGCUUCAUUGUUUCCCUGCCCAGCUCAGACUCGCUUCCCAGCCUGGGGGUCCCUGCCUGCUAUGAUGUUUUAUUGGACUCAUCAAUGAGUGAAUGAACUUCAUGAGAGAAUGGUGGGAUGGUUGAGUAAAUGAAUGAAAAGGUAAACGAAUGAGUGGAGAUCCAGUGACUGCUACUAUAUCCAGUUUAGCCACCAGGCCAACAGAUCCUGUCCCAUUCCAUAGCUUAGAUCCAGACACAUGAUGGCUGCAACCUCUGCCUCUUUGAGGGGCCACGGGACCAUCUCACGCUGUGCAGAAAAGCAAGUCUCCUAGACACUUUCUCCUCUUCCCACCCAAGGCUGUAUCAUGAAGAUUAGGAUUAUUAAACUGUAAGCCACCAAAAAUCCAAAAUAAAAGUGGGUUACAGCAGAGAGUUUAUUUCCUA